GGGCUCAUAGCUCAGUUGGUAGAGCGCCUCGUUUGCACCGAGGAGGUCAGGAGUUCGAGUCUCCUUGAGUCCA
rnacentral:tRNA from 1 species